GCCAGCAGCUAUAGCACCCUGCAACUCACAACUGGCAACCCACUGAAGCUAAGCGGGUGUGAGCCUGGUCAGUACCUGGAUGGGAGACCUCCUGGGAAAAACUAAGGUUGCUGCUGGAA
rnacentral:rRNA from 1 species